UACGGAGGAUGCAAGCGUUAUCCGGAAUGAUUGGGCGUAAAGGGUCCGCAGGUGGCAGUGUAAGUCUGCUGUCAAAGAAUGAGGCUUAACCUCAUCAAGGCAGUGGAAACUACACAGCUAGAGUACGGUCGGGGUAGAAGGAAUUCCUGGUGUAGCGGUGAAAUGCGUAGAGAUCAGGAAGAACACCGGUGGCGAAAGCGCUCUGCUAGGCCGCAACUGACACUCAUGGACGAAAGCUAGGGGAGCGAAUGGG
rnacentral:rRNA from 1 species